rnacentral:sRNA from 1 species
GGAUGUGUGGGCGAUCUGGCUGCCACGUGUCACUCCACGGAUUGCCAGGGUUGAUUCAGCUGAUCAGUUGACUAGGUGGGCACCCCAUUCCUCUCUCACCACUUCAUGUGUGUCCCUCCCCAAAGCUGCUCGCUCGGUGGAAGAGACGGCCAUCUCAGAUAGAUCUUCAGUCAAGGGUAUACGAUAGGACUAGAGGUGACACGAUAGCAGUGUUCCAAUAUUUGAGGGACUCCUACAAAGAUGAGGUGGUCAACUAUUUU